UUCUAGCUUAUAAGGAGUGUGAAUACCGUAACUAACAAGAUAUAGGCUGCUUCCAAAGAUCUGUAAGAUGUGAAAAGAAGGGCACAGAGGUUGGCUGCUGUCCUUUGUAUUAGUUAAAUGUUAAAGAAAAUAUAUAACAACAGGGCAGGUCCUCGGAGGAAAUCAGCCUGGGGACCAUAUUAUAUGUCACUGCUAAAAAGGAUGUUUCUGGGUCAAAGAAGAGGUCAGCCAUGGGGCAGCAUGGAAAAACCGCAGUACAGCUGCUGUUACCCUUAGCAUAAGCCUGUAGAUAGAUAUAUAAUCUCAACGGCUAGCAUUGUCUUACACUGAAUAGAACUCAGGAGUGACAGUAAUUAGAUGUGAGGGUGUCUGAUCACUGAAACAACCAUUUUAUAUAAUGGGUUUUAAAAUAAAAAUAUGGUUGUUUUAUUUUUAAAAAAAGUUGCUGACAUUUUUAGUUCAUUUAUAUACAUUUCAGUUGGAUUCAAGUAUUGUGGUCUUUCAUAUAAUCAAUACAGGUUGCAGUAUUUUUGUAAUUCACAUACAGUUCAACCUCUGGUCUUCUAAAAGGAAUUAAUCACUGUCAUCUAGCCAUGGGUCUUCUGUGAUGAGCACUCUGGGAGGUAGUGUAAUGGCUUUUCCUGUUGUAGACAACAUAUCGAUAUCCUGAAUUUUUCAGAAAGCAUUUUUGUUACUUCUUUUAUGUAUGCUGUAAUUUAUGUAAUGUUCUUGCUAAAUAUACAGUAAUUUUCAUGCAAUUCACUAUUCUGUAUUUUAUAAUAGUCAACAUAUUCCAAAGGCUUUCUUAUAAAAAAUGAUAUUAUCAUUUGUGUUUUAAUUUCAAAAAAGGGCACUGGUUUGCCGAAAAAUAUUCUGAAAUUUUUCCAAACUUCUAAAUACAAAAAUAUCACACCGGAUCUUUAGUUUCAUGCCACAUUUUGCCAUUUUACAGGAUAAAAACAGUAACUAUUUGCAAGGCUUAAACAACAGCUACCUAUACAGGUAUGGAACCCAUUAUCCAGAAUGCUCAGGACCUGGUUUUCCAAGGGAU